AUUGAACGCUGGCGGCAUGCUUUACACAUGCAAGUCGAACGGCAGCGCGGGCUUCGGCCUGGCGGCGAGUGGCGAACGGGUGAGUAAUACAUCGGAACGUGCCCAGUAGUGGGGGAUUGCUCGGCGAAAGCCGGAUUAAUACCGCAUACGACCUGAGGGUGAAAGCGGGGGAUCUUCGGACCUCGCGCUAUUGGAGCGGCCGAUGGCAGAUUAGCUAGUUGGUGGGGUAAAGGCCUACCAAGGCGACGAUCUGUAGCUGGUCUGAGAGGACGACCAGCCACACUGGGACUGAGACACGGCCCAGACUCCUACGGGAGGCAGCAGUGGGGAAUUUUGGACAAUGGGCGAAAGCCUGAUCCAGCAAUGCCGCGUGUGUGAUGAAGGCCUUCGGGUUGUAAAGCACUUUUGGCGGGAACGAAAAGGAAUGUGCCAAUACCACGGUUCGAUGACGGUACCCGCAGAAUAAGCACCGGCUAACUACGUG
rnacentral:rRNA from 1 species